rnacentral:rRNA from 1 species
UGGGGAAUCUUGGACAAUGGGGGCAACCCUGAUCCAGCGACGCCGCGUGGGUGAUGAAGGCCUUCGGGUUGUAAAGCUCUUUCAGCUGUGAAGAUAAUGACGGUAGCAGCAGAAGAAACCCCGGCUAACUCCGUGCCAGCAGCCGCGGUAAUACGGAGGGGGUUAGCGUUGUUCGGAAUUACUGGGCGUAAAGCGCGCGUAGGCGGACUGUUAAGUCAGAGGUGAAAUCCCAGGGCUCAACCCUGGAACUGCCUUUGAUACUGGCAGUCUUGAGUUCGAGAGAGGUGAGUGGAAUUCCGAGUGUAGAGGUGAAAUUCGUAGAUAUUCGGAGGAACACCAGUGGCGAAGGCGGCUCACUGGCUCGAUACUGACGCUGAGGUGCGAAAGUGUGGGGAGCAAACAGGAUUAGAUACCCCGGUAGUCC